GGGCGAAGUGAAGAGGGAAGAGCUCAAAUUUGAAAGCUGGUACCUUCGGUAUCCGCGUUGUAACCUCGAGACACGUUUUCCGUGCGGCGCUAUGGACAAGUUCCUUGGAACAGGACAUCGUAGAGGGUGAAAAUCCCGUACUUGCCAUGGAUGUACCGUGCUUUGCGAUACGUGCUCUAAGAGUCGAGUUGUUUGGGAUUGCAGCUCAAAAUGGGUGGUAGACUCCAUCUAAAGCUAAAUAUCGGGGAGAGACCGAUAGCGAACAAGUACCGUGAGGGAAAGAUGAAAAGCACUUUGGAAAGAGAGUUAAAAGUACGUGAAAUUGUCGAAAGGGAAGC
rnacentral:rRNA from 1 species